GAUGAACGCUGGCGGCGUGCCUAAUACAUGCAAGUCGAGCGAACAGAUAAGGAGCUUGCUCCUUUGACGUUAGCGGCGGACGGGUGAGUAACACGUGGAUAACCUACCUAUAAGACUGGGAUAACUUCGGGAAACCGGAGCUAAUACCGGAUAAGAUUUUGAACCGCAUGGUUCAAUAGUGAAAGACGGCCUUGCUGUCACUUAUAGAUGGAUCCGCGCCGUAUUAGCUAGUUGGUAAGGUAACGGCUUACCUAGGCAACGAUACGUAGCCGACCUGAGAGGGUGAUCGGCCACACUGGAACUGAGACACGGUCCAGACUCCUACGGGAGGCAGCAGUAGGGAAUCUUCCGCAAUGGGCGAAAGCCUGACGGAGCAACGCCGCGUGAGUGAUGAAGGUCUUCGGAUCGUAAAACUCUGUUAUCAGGGAAGAACAAACGUGUAAGUAACUGUGCACGUCUUGACGGUACCUGAUCAGAAAGCCACGGCUAACUACGUG
rnacentral:rRNA from 1 species